rnacentral:misc_RNA from 1 species
GAUGAAGAACGCAGCGAAAUGCGAUAAGUAAUGUGAAUUGCAGAAUUCAGUGAAUCAUCGAAUCUUUGAACGCACAUUGCGCCCCUUGGUAUUCCGAGGGGCAUGCCUGUUCGAGCGUCAUUAUAACCACUCAAGCUCAGCUUGGUGUUGGGGCCUGCUGCACUGGCAGCCCUUAAAAUCAGUGGCGGCGCCAUCUGGCUCUAAGCGUAGUAAUUCUUCUCGCUAUGGAGUCCUGGUGGAUGCUUGCCAUCAACCCCCAAUUUUUCUAUGGUUGACCUCGGAUCAGGUAGGGAUACCCGCUGAACUUAAGCAUAUCAAUAAGCGGAGGA